ACAGAGCAGGCUGCCUUUGAACUCACAGAGAUCCACCUGCCCCUGCCUCCGGAGUACUGGAGUUAAAAGUAUGUACCACCCCUGCUAGCUGAACUUGCACUUUCUGGUCCAACCAGCUAGAAUGCUCUCACUUCCGUGAGUACUCUCCCAUUUGGUCUUUAGACAAGGAAAGGAGACAUGCUUUCUAUCCACCAUUGCCGGGGUCAUUGCAUCCUUGGUCACUUACUAACCCCACUCUCAUCCCAACAGACUCAUCCGACCCACUUCUUGUUACUUCAUGGCUGGCGAGUAGCCAGGCUGACCAAUUGUAGGACUUUGGAACUCAAGUGUCCAGUGUUGAGCCACUCCGCCCCUCAGCUAGUGGAAGAGAAAAGAGACUCUCACAAUGGGGUUAUAUGACUAACCAGAAAGACCGAGAUCCAGUUUCUAGUCCUCAGGGACACCCCAUCUAUACCAUCAACUUGGUGUCACCAAGAGGCUCUUUCUAAAACCUGUGUCGGAUGAAUCAAAGGCUUAAAGACAGCCCAGGAUUCGGAGAGGGAUGAUGGAUGGAGAUGGGAGGAGACUAAAAAUCUCCCAUUUCCUAAUGGACAAGUCAGACGCUGAAAGCUGGAAGGAAUUGAAUCAAGUGUGUAAGUGUCACCUGGCUGCCACCUGAGGAAGACCUGCCAUGCCGUGUUCUGACACUCGUGCCUGAUAAUGUCCGAUGUGAAGUGAACCGGUCCACGGUCACCAGGUCAGCCCAAGUGUCAGCUGGUGAUGAGCUCAGUCAACUCCAUGAGGGCAGAGAUGGAGAAUUGUGCUAUUUGGAAAGUCCGUGUGACAGCGUGGUCGCAUGCGCCCAGCACUUGAAAGCUUGAGAUGGGAGGAUGUUGUCUUUGAGGCCAGCCUGGGCUACAGUACGAGACUGUCUCAACAACUGAAACAGAACAAAAGAAUUCAAACAAACAAAAUCAGAAACAAAAUUGGGGCUUAUGGUCCUCUUUUUUUUUUUUUUGAGGAAACACCAGUAUUUUGCACUGAGGACAUAGUCAUUUAUACUCCACUUACACCAUAUGCAGCCUCUGGGGAUCCUUGCCAGCAGCACUUCAUUUCUUAUGUAAAACCUUCUUAGACACAGGGUCUCGCGCAUUCCAGUUAACCCUACAUUUAUGCUAUAGCUGGGGAUGACCUUGGAUUUCUGAUCCUUCUGCUUCCAACAUCCAAAGCCUGGCAUCACAGACUUUGUAAUGACCAUGCCUGGUUUGGGAGGUGUGUAGGCUGGGCAAGCAUCUACCAACUGGGCAAGCAUCUACCAACUGAAUUACAUCCCCAGCCCUAUUUCUUUUUUAUUUCUCUCGCCCUCCCUCCUUCCUUCUCGCCUACCUUUAGUGUAUGUGCAUGAUGUGUGUAUGGAGCAUCCGUGUGCCUGUGCAUGUAUUUGCAAAGGUCAGAAGAGGAUGUUAUGUGCUCUGUUCUGUUGUUCCCUUGAGACAGGAUCGCUCACCAAAGCUGUUGCUAGGGUGGUGCCAGCAACCCCCAAAGAUCUUCCUCUUUCCACCUCCCUCCCAGAACUGGGGUUGCAGGUGUGAAACUAUGUCUAGUUGUUUUAUGUGGGUCAUGACAACUUGUUUUCUCUGAACCAUCUCCCCAAUACCUCCCUGUCUCGUCUUGAAAAAACUGUAACCAUGCCAGUGGCUGGGAGGUGGAAUCUCUUUGUGAGUUUUUAUGCUUUUAAAAAUAAUUUUAUUUAUUUAUUAUAUGUGUGUAGGGGUGAGUGUGGGUUCUUGUUCUGAGGUCAACGGACAGCUUUGUAAAGUUACUUCUCUCUUUCCACCUUCAUGCAGGCUCUGGGGAUUGAACUCAAGUCAUCAGCCUUGCACACACACACCUUUACCCACUGAGCCCUAUCACCAGCUCUCUCCUUACAGUUUUGAUUGGCAUUUUAUAAAUAGCUAAUUAUGCUAAGCAUCCUUUCGUGUGUUCGUUGACCAUUUAUGAAUGAUCUUUUGAGAAAUGACUAUUUAAGAUUCUGGUCCAGUCAGGGGCGGUGGUGCAUGCCUUUAGUCCCAGCACUUAGGAGUUAGAGGCAGGCAGAUCUCUGUGAGUUCUAGGCCA
rnacentral:sRNA from 1 species